AUGAACGCUGACAGAAUGCUUAACACAUGCAAGUCUUUGGCGAAGCUGUGCUUGCACAGCCUAGCCAAGGCGGACGGGUGAGUAACGCGUAAGGAACUUGCCCUGCAGUCAGGGAUAACAGACUGAAACGACUGAUAAGACCUGGUAAAGUCAGGCGGACUCAUGUCCAGCCUGAUGAAAAGAGAUGCUGCAGGAGAGCCUUGCGUCCUAUUAGCUUGUUGGUGGGGUAACGGCUCACCAAGGCGAUGAUAGGUAGCCGGCCUGAGGGGGUGGGCGGCCACAAGGGGACUGAGAUACGGCCCUUACUCCUACGGGAGGCAGCAGUGGGGAAUAUUGGACAAUGGGGGCAACCCUGAUCCAGCAAUUCUGUGUGGACGAUGAAGGUUUUCGGAUUGUAAAGUGCUUUCAGCAGGGAAGAAAAAAAUGACGGUACCUGCAGAAGAAGCGACGGCUAAAUACGUG
rnacentral:rRNA from 1 species